GUGCUCACUUCAGCAGCACAUAUACUAAAAUUGGAAUGAUACAGAGUAGAUUAGCAUGGCCCUUGGCGCAAGGAUGACACGCAAAUUCAUGAAGCAUUACAUAUUUUU